UUUUGGAAAUUCUUGCUCUGUAUGAGUCCCAGUGCAAGACCAAACUCCACGUAGAUCUUCUCUUUGAAGCAGAUAUAAGUGGAGCACCUGUUAUGAGCCCAGCAGCACAAGGGUAACCAGGAGAGUUCCCGUCCAGAAGUUACUGGAUCAGGCACUUCUCCCAACCAUGAGCGUCACAAUGCCUGCUUCCAAGGACUGAGAGAGUCUUAGGCUGGUUUGCAGCCCACGCAGCAGUAGAUGAUAGACUGACCUUGAAAGAUGAGCAAAGAAGUGAUGGCUUCACUGGUGUUGGACCACA
rnacentral:lncRNA from 1 species